UCCUCGAUAGUCUAGUGGUGAGGAUAUCGGCUUGUCAUUCCACGAUUCGCCGGGGACCGGGGUUCAAUUCCCCGUCGAGGAG
rfam:Colletotrichum orbiculare MAFF 240422 contig00047, whole genome shotgun sequence.